ACAGGAAGUGACGUUCUGUUCUAUCAGCCAAUGAGGGGUUUCACUCCCAUGAUGCACUGCUCACACAAACGGCCCGCGCCAACUGUACAUGGUGUCAACGCUGAAGAUGUGAUUUAGAACUUUUACAUUAACAAGUCGGCGAUGACUGCGUGCAAUAAUUCUACUGUUCUUAAAGAUGUUGUUGCCUAUGUGGAUGUGUGGUCAUCUGACAAAAGGGCAAACUAUUCUAGAUCAUUUUUUCCUCAGCUACAAGAAAUGGGAGCUCAGGUGGCACAGAGAUUCAGUAAACAGGUCACUCAUGUAGUGUUCAACUGUGGACAUCCAGCUACAUGGAGAAAAGCUAAGAAAAGUGAUGUGCAUCUAGUUUCCGCUUUGUGGAUAAACAGGUGUUUUGAUGAAGGAACACGUGUGGAUGAGGGGUUAUUUCCAGCUUCAAAUGAUGAGAGCAACCCUGUGAUAAAGAACAGAAGACAUCGUUGCAUGUUACCAAAGAAUUCCCCUGAGAGGAAAACUGAAAAUGACUGGCGGAAAAAGAAAAAACUAAACAAGAUGUUGAAAGAUUUACCUUCAAAAGAACCCCAAGUUGCAGAUUUAUCACCCAUUAUUAUUGAUCAAGAGAAUGGAAUAAUUUACAGUCCCUCCAUGAAAAGGGCAGAUUACAUGGCACAGCGCUUGAAGGACAUGAAGGACAAACUGGAAGACCUGUCGUUAACAGCUUCACAAACUGGUGAAUCCUGCUCACCUACAGGGAUUAAACCUGCUCUUGGAAUGUCACCAUCUGUCCUCAAGUUUAAGUUAGACGACGAUCCACAUGAUGAUUCCUGUGUUUCUGUCUCUUCACCUGGAUGUUUGUCUGAUGAAGAGGGAAUAUCACACUCUGAAACUAAAGACUUUGGUCAUUCUAUCAGCCCUCUGUCAUCACCCUGUCAAGAUGUUCCUAAACGGAUUUCACGUUUACGUAACUUUCCCCGCUUUGACCUCGACAUGGAUGAAGAAGGGAAUAAAAGUGUUGAUCCUGAAAUAGAUAAAGAUGCAAAUGAAAACAAGACAAAGACGACAGAGAAGGCGCAGUCUAAACUUGUUUCAGAAAGCCCUCCCCAGGACAGAUCUGAUGAUUCCAAGGGUUCCGAUGGAGUUCAAAAGCUGCCACCUAUAAAAUCAACUCGCCUUCCCCCUAACAAAUUUGAAGUUGGAAAUAAAAAACAAUUAGUUAAAUCCUGCACUAAAGCAUCAUCUAAUAUUUAUUCAGGUGCUGUGAAGUCUUCAAGACGCCAUUCAGCAUCAGUGCUUUCACUUGACUCUAAACCCAAAAUGUCAAAGGAAACAUCAGUGGUCAAAAAGACUGAUAAAAAAACACCCAAACAAUCCAGAUCAUUAGUAUGUUCCCUCAUAAAACCUUUUACUCUGUCGAGUGAAUGUGAAAGCGUUACAUCUGGCCCAACUGAUGGAGACAGUGACGUGUUUGAGGAUUAUUUUUCUCCUGCCAACCACAGAAAGUCCGUAUUUCCCGAUCUGCCCCAAGACUUAAAUAUUCAGAUACCUUUUGAGCUGAGCCCUCUUCCAAUCAAGAGAAAGCAAAGAAGUGAGAACCACAGUUCUGACACCAAGGGUAAAAAAAAGCGGAAAUUAGAGGAAAAUUCUUGUGGCAAACAUCUUGAGCAGCAGAGUAAUGAAAGCUAUGAGUCCUGGCCUUUCAGAGCAUCUGACAGCCCUCAGAUGACAAAAAAGCAAAGCACCAGGAAAGACGAAGACGAUGCUACUGACAACCAGAAACCAGCAACCUCAACAGGACAGCCAUCACUGCAAGCUAAAGAUCUUACAGGCGAAGAACAACCGAAGAAGUCUGAUUUCCCAGUUCUUUAUUCAAAUCCAGAAAGUGGAGGGGAUGAAUGCACGGGUGCAGCUGGUUUCAAAGAGAUCCCCCCUGAAGCUGAAGAAAAUCUCAAUAAGCAAGACGGCUCGAGUCUUCAGACAAUGGUUAACAAAGCAAAGGUUAUGAGAACACUGGUCAUGACAAGUAUGCCAACUGAGAAGCAGAGUACGGUGGUUCAAGUGGUGAAAACACUGGGUGGUUUUUUAAUUGUCGACCAGGUGUGUGAAAGCACCACUCAUGUUGUGUCUGGGGGACACAGGCGGACCCUCAACAUCCUGCUGGGCAUUGCACGGGGCUGCUGGAUCCUCUCUUUUGAAUGGGUACUGAGAUUCUAUGGUGUUUGGAGCAAAGGCAGUGGAUUCCAGAGGAACCGUAUGAACUUUCAGAUCAGUUUCCUGCAGCACAAAUUUGUCGCCUCCAGAGGCAUCUUUCUGCUGGAGAGCACCAACAGGACCUGUUCCAAGACCAGCCAGCCAUGUUUGUAUCCCAGCACUCCCAGCCACCCCCCCAGAGUCUGGUGGAGCUGAUUCAGCUGUGUGGGGGGGCAGUUUGCAAAACUGUGCGACAGGCUGGCAUCUGCAUAGGGAAGUACAGCGGCCGGAGACCAGAAGGAAACAGGAUUUUGUCUGAGCAGUGGAUUCUUGACAGCAUCACUAAUCUGAAGGUAUUGCCAUUUGAGGAUUACGACUUGGAGUAAGAGCUGGUGAUCAAUUUUUCUGUGCUGCACAGUGAUAUAUUAUACAGUAUAUUUUCUACAGAAUGUUGAUUUUCAUCUGUAAAAUAAAUCAGAUUUUUUAUUGAUGUAUAUGAAAGUUUCGCAAAAGAAACUGUCUAAGAUUCUGUUGGUUGGGUGUUAACUGUAUUCAUGUCUCUAACAAAUGGUAGAAACCACUACUGUGAAUUUUCCAUUUUAUUUCUGAAAAUGUGAUUUGUUGUCUUGAGCCAGUGGGACGCCGCCUCCUUAUAGAGUGAUGUUUAUUAUUAAAUACUUUUUAUUGUACCACUGAUGUAAUUUUUCUCCAUUAAACUUUGUCAAAGAACCCAAGAUCAACUGUUGAGUUUUCACAUGUUCCAAGUCUCAAAAAAACUUUUUUUUUGUUUACUGUGAAAGAAAGUUAUAAAAAUGUUUCUCUUUAUGUCGAUGAUUUUUUAUUUUAUUUUGCUCAUUUAAAUGUUUUGUUUUUAAGAGUCUUUUGGACCACAUGGCUUGUUUUUCCAACACCAUUCAGUUCACUGUGAAAGUACAGAAUUUACCAUCCCUGUACGUGUAUUUAAUUUUUAAAUGUCUAAAAUCAGGUUUUGGACCUAAAGGCAUCAAAUUCAAAUGUCAGAAAAUGUAUUUACUUUUUAUUUUUCCUAUUUUCUUUUUUUUGGGGGGGGGUUGAUGCAAAAGGUAAAUGUACAUGGAAUCAGAGGUUUGUUGUCCGGUCGAUUCUGACUUAUAAACUGUUGUGUGAUGACAAUGUGAUGAAAUCAUAGAACCAUAUAUUAAAAAUAUAUAAACUAA